CCAGCAAUCCCACACCAGAGAAGACUCUAGUUUGAAGAGGUACAUGCACCCCAAUGUUCACAGCAGCACUAUUUACAACAGCCAAGACAUGGAAGCGACCUGAAUGUCCAUCGACAGAUGAAUG